GAUACUACUGUCUGGGCUCCAACAGUUCUGCUCCAACUGGGCGCUGUGCUGCAGGCUUCUACUGCCCUGGUGGGGCAGACUCCCCUGUGCAGAGAGAGGCAGAGGAGGGGCACUUCUCACGUGAGGGGGCAGUUAAAGCAGAGGAUUGCCCCCUGGGCACCUUUCAGCCCGGCCGAGGCCAGGGAAGGUGUCUCCAAUGCCAGCCUGGCCGCCUCUGCAAUGAGACGGGUCUGUCCCAACCCCCCCUCUGCCCCUCUGGCCACUACUGCCCCCCCGGCUCGUCUGUCGCUCGGCCAUGUCCACCUGGCUCCUACUUUGCUCAUCCUGGUGCAAUAGAAGUAACACACUGCAGCUUGUGUGAUGCGGGGCAGUUCUGCCAGAAUCCAGGCCUUUCUGCCCCAGAGGGUCCCUGUGCCCCAGGAUUCUACUGUACUGGGGGAUCCAGCACUGCUACACCGGUGAACUUGCGGUCUGGAGACGUGUGUCCUGCGGGCUACGUGUGUCCCCCUGGCACCAUGCACCCCCACGAGACUCCGUGCCCCCCCGGCACCUGGAGCAAUGUGGUGGGGGGGCAGGAUCUGUCCACCUGCUGGCUCUGCCCCCCUGGGUUCUACUGCAACACCUCCGCCCUGACCCAGCCCACCAAUGUGUGUGCCCCAGGGUUUUAUUGCUCUGGUGGGGCAAAGAGCUCAAUGCCAGUAGAUGGAGAGAGCGGCGGCCGCUGUCCAGCUGGGUCCUACUGUCCACCGGGUUCAGCCUCGCCCUCACCCUGCCCUGAGGGCACCUUCUCCAACAGCACAGGUGUUGCAGAGUGCCGUAACUGCCCUCCGGGGAAGAUCUGCCUGCGGGGGGAGGACCCCGAGCUCUGCCCUGAGGGGCACUUCUGCCUUGGGGGCACCCUGGACGAUAUCUUGGCCUGCCCACCAGGAACCUACAACCCCUUGCAGGGGCAAAACCAGCUGGAGCAGUGCCUCCUCUGCCCCCCAGGUAAGCACGUGUGUGAGGAUGCUGUGUGUGAGGACAGAUAA
rnacentral:lncRNA from 1 species